rnacentral:tRNA from 1 species
GUAAGCUUAGUUUAAAUCCAAAAUUUUAGAUCGUGACUCUAAAGACAGGGGUUAAACUCCCCUCGCUCACC